rnacentral:misc_RNA from 1 species
AACGCACAUUGCGCCCGCCAGUACUCUGGCGGGCAUGCCUGUUCGAGCGUCAUUUCAACCCUCAAGCCCUGCUUGGUGUUGGGGCCCUACGGCUGCCGUAGGCCCUGAAAGGAAGUGGCGGGCUCGCUACAACUCCGAGCGUAGUAGAAUCCUAUCUCGCUAGGGAGGUGCGGCGUGCUCCAGCCGUUAAAGACCCCAUCUUUAACCAAGGUUGACCUCGGAUCAGGUAGGAAUACCCGCUGAACUUAA